CCUACGGGAGGCAGCAGUGGGGAAUAUUGGGCAAUGGGCGAAAGCCUGACCCAGCGACGCCGCGUGGGUGAUGAAGGCCUUCGGGUUGUAAAGCCCUUUCGUGCGGAAAGAACAGUCUCGUAGCUAAUACCUGCGAGAUUUGACGGUACCGCAGGAAGAAGCACCGGCUAACUCCGUGCCAGCAGCCGCGGUAAUACGGAGGGUGCAAGCGUUGUUCGGAAUUAUUGGGCGUAAAGGGCGCGUAGGCGGUAGUGAUAGUCAGAUGUGAAAUCCUCCGGCUUAACUGGAGAACUGCAUCUGAAACUUCACAACUCGAGUACAGGAGAGGGAAACGGAAUUCCCGGUGUAGAGGUGAAAUUCGUAGAUAUCGGGAGGAACACCAGUGGCGAAGGCGGUUUCCUGGCCUGAUACUGACGCUGAGGCGCGAAAGCGUGGGGAGCAAACAGGAUUAGAUACCCUGGUAGUCCACGCGGUAAACGGUGAACACUAGGUGUGGGAGGUGUAAUACCUUCUGUGCCGAAGCUAACGCGUUAAGUGUUCCGCCUGGGAAGUACGGCCGCAAGGUUGAAACUAAAGGAAUGACGG
rnacentral:rRNA from 1 species